rnacentral:rRNA from 1 species
GAGUUUGAUCAUGGCUCAGAUUGAACGCUGGCGGCAGGCCUAACACAUGCAAGUCGAACGGUAACAGGAAUCAGCUUGCUGAUUCGCUGACGAGUGGCGGACGGGUGAGUAAUGUCUGGGAAACUGCCUGAUGGAGGGGGAUAACUACUGGAAACGGUAGCUAAUACCGCAUAACGUCGCAAGACCAAAGAGGGGGACCUUCGGGCCUCUUGCCAUCGGAUGUGCCCAGAUGGGAUUAGCUAGUAGGUGGGGUAACGGCUCACCUAGGCGACGAUCCCUAGCUGGUCUGAGAGGAUGACCAGCCACACUGGAACUGAGACACGGUCCAGACUCCUACGGGAGGCAGCAGUGGGGAAUAUUGCACAAUGGGCGCAAGCCUGAUGCAGCCAUGCCGCGUGUAUGAAGAAGGCCUUCGGGUUGUAAAGUACUUUCAGCGGGGAGGAAGGGAGUAAAGUUAAUACCUUUGCUCAUUGACGUUACCCGCAGAAGAAGCACCGGCUAACUCCGUGCCAGCAGCCGCGGUAAUACGGAGGGUGCAAGCGUUAAUCGGAAUUACUGGGUGUAAAGCGCACGCAGGCGGUUUGUUAAGUCAGAUGUGAAAUCCCCGGGCUCAACCUGGGAACUGCAUCUGAUACUGGCAAGCUUGAGUCUCGUAGAGGGGGGUAGAAUUCCAGGUGUAGCGGUGAAAUGCGUAGAGAUCUGGAGGAAUACCGGUGGCGAAGGCGGCCCCCUGGACGAAGACUGACGCUCAGGUGCGAAAGCGUGGGGAGCAAACAGGAUUAGAUACCCUGGUAGUCCACGCCGUAAACGAUGUCGACUUGGAGGUUGUGCCCUUGAGGCGUGGCUUCCGGAGCUAACGCGUUAAGUCGACCGCCUGGGGAGUACGGCCGCAAGGUUAAAACUCAAAUGAAUUGACGGGGGCCCGCACAAGCGGUGGAGCAUGUGGUUUAAUUCGAUGCAACGCGAAGAACCUUACCUGGUCUUGACAUCCACAGAACUUUCCAGAGAUGGAUUGGUGCCUUCGGGAACUGUGAGACAGGUGCUGCAUGGCUGUCGUCAGCUCGUGUUGUGAAAUGUUGGGUUAAGUCCCGCAACGAGCGCAACCCUUAUCCUUUGUUGCCAGCGGUCCGGCCGGGAACUCAAAGGAGACUGCCAGUGAUAAACUGGAGGAAGGUGGGGAUGACGUCAAGUCAUCAUGGCCCUUACGACCAGGGCUACACACGUGCUACAAUGGCGCAUACAAAGAGAAGCGACCUCGCGAGAGCAAGCGGACCUCAUAAAGUGCGUCGUAGUCCGGAUUGGAGUCUGCAACUCGACUCCAUGAAGUCGGAAUCGCUAGUAAUCGUGGAUCAGAAUGCCACGGUGAAUACGUUCCCGGGCCUUGUACACACCGCCCGUCACACCAUGGGAGUGGGUUGCAAAAGAAGUAGGUAGCUUAACCUUCGGGAGGGCGCUUACCACUUUGUGAUUCAUGACUGGGGUGAAGUCGUAACAAGGUAACCGUAGGGGAACCUGCGGUUGGAUCACC